rnacentral:rRNA from 1 species
AGAAUCAACGCUGGCGGCGUGCCUAACACAUGCAAGUCGCACGAGAAAAGGACUUCGGUCCUGAGUACAGUGGCGCACGGGUGAGUAACACGUGAAUCAUCUACCUUCGAGUGGGGAAUAACUGAGAGAAAUCUUAGCUAAUACCGCAUAAUACCCACGGGUCAAAGCAGCAAUGCGCUUGAAGAGGAGUUCGCGGCAGAUUAGUUAGUUGGCGGGUAAUGGCCCACCAAGACUGUGAUCGGUA